AUGAACGGUUACAAGACACAUCAAACCUCCUCGGGUCUCGUCAAGGCUCUCACCUGAGCUUACUUGGGUUCACAUUUUGGAGACAGAUCCAAAAUCGGAAUUGAGGCAUCCAGGAAAAAAUGCUCGAGGCUGAGGGGGACUUGAAGGUGUCACGGAAGGAAGAGCUGCAGGUGCCAGGGCGGCCAUCCGGAUUUGGUGUUUUGUUUAAGAAAUGGGACUGGCCUCCUCGACUCCCGCUCCCCAGAACUUGCGCUCCAAUGGGUCUGCCCAGUGGCUCGUCCAGACGUGGCCACAGCGAGCCCCGGGGUGAGGGGGGACUGUGGAAGGUGUGUGUUUGUUGGGGGGUGGUCCCUCCCCAGCCCCAAGUUGCCCCUUUCCCACUCUCCCCAAGACACAUCCGUGGCUACGCCUUUGCAGGCGUGUUCCUUGCCCCUGGCAGCUUAGGGACAAAAUUUAGACCAGCACAGAGGAUGCAGAGGUGGCAAGAGUGGCGAGGGGGUGGGUGCUGUCAGGCUAGCUCCAGGGAUGCAUCUAGGAAAUCAGCUUCCCUCUAUCCCAUAGCAGCCCCCACCUAAAGCCAAUAAGAACAUUUACUGAGCACCUACUGUGUGUGGAGCUCUGUACAAACCACUUGUAGCCAAGCUCGGUAUUCUGUCUCUGGCAGUGGCUCAAAAGGGGCAUUUCAAAAUCUGUUCUGACUUUGAGGGGGACAUCAGAGCUGCAGCAAUCUGAACAGCUAUUUGGUGGUGAAGUGGUAAUGAGGAACAUGUGGAAGAGGGAUAAAGGGAAAAGAGUGGGAACCUCAGGAGUCUCGAGGAAUGAGAGUCUGAAAUCUACCUGUUAUUUAAAAGCGGGUUACUGAAACUAAAGAGGGACCUUUCUUUUCAUUUUUUUUCUCCAACAGCUGCCUCUUCUUAGCAACUGCUAAAGAAAAACGUAUUUGCUUGAGGUUUCUUGUGACCAAAAAGCACUAAAUAAAGUACUUUAAUAUAUUUUGGAGUUUGCGUAUGGCAAGAAAGAACAAGUCUCCCCAAUUUACUGGAAUACACAGUGCACUGUUACAAUGUCAAAUUUGUAGUCCAAGUGACUGAGAUCUGCUGAACCACUCAACAUAAAAGUUUCAAUUUGAA